UGCGGGGUGGAGCAGCCUGGUAGCUCGUCGGGCUCAUAACCCGAAGGUCGUCGGUUCGAAUCCGGCCCCCGCUACCA
rnacentral:tRNA from 8 species